UGGCGGGCGCCCCUCCCCCAGCCUCGUUGCCGCCUUGCAGUUUGAUCUCAGACUGCUGUGUUAGCAAUCAGCGAGACUCCGUGGGCAUAGGAACCUCCGAGCCAGGUGCGGGAUGUAAUCUCGUGGUGCACCGUUUUUUAAGCCAGUCCGAAAAGCGCAAUAUUCGGGUGGGAGUGACCCAAUUUUCCAGGUGCGUCCGUCACCCCUUUCUUUGACUCGGAAAGGGAACUCCCUGACCCCUUGCGCUUCCCAAGUGAGGCAAUGCCUCUCCCUGCUUCGGCUCGCACACGGUGCGCGCACCCACUGACCUGUGCCCACUGUCUGGCACUCCCUAGUGAGAUGAACCCGGUACCUCAGAUGGAAAUGCAGAAAUCACCUGUCUUCUGCGUCACUCAAGCUGGGAGCUGUAGACCGGAGCUGUUCCUAUGCGGCCAUCUUGGCUCCUCCCCAGAAUAUGGCCUUUUUAAGGACUGGACAUUUUAAAUUUUGAAUUGUGACUCAAAUUCAAAGUACUAGAGGACUUUUACCAUCUUAAGAAUGAUGAUCAACUCAUGGAAUCUGGAAUGCAGUGGAGGUGAUACUAUGGUCAUAAUGACCAGGGGCUGGGUCAGAAGAACUUCAGAUUGAGCCUCUUGAAACAUUUGCUCUUGGAAUUCUCCCUCUCAGGAAACUAACAGCCUGCUAUGAAGCCCAAGCCACAAAGAGAGGCCAAGGGGAAAUAAACAGAGUGUGAUUAUAUGCAAAACCUACAAGAAUGAGGACCUCCAAACUCAGUGUACAGAGUGAUUUUCUGCUGAAACAAUUGGAAAAUAAAAGAGACAUCAGUGUGUGAAUGACGACUUUCUGUUGCUGACUUGGAAGACAGAGGAAUUGGGUCAUGAGCCGAGGAAGGUGGGCAGCUUCUAAAAGGCGGAAAAGAACUGAAUUGAAUUCAAAUCAAAAAAGGUCUGAACCUCAUUUAAAAGAUGGUUUUGUAACUGAAGAAUUGAAAGGAUUUCUUUAUGAACUAGCAUCAUCUUAAGACAAAGGAUAAGGACCCUGAAGACAGCAUUAUAGUGAAUCCCAGAGGUGCUCUCCAAAAUGGUGCUAAUACAGCCAAGAAUACAGUGGCUGAAGUGAGAGGAAGCGAGGAUAUGGCUGACAUUCUCCAAGAAGCAGUGACUUCAGAAGAUGACUGGCAUCUUGAACUUCAGGAAAAUGCUUGGCCUUUUUAACUCUGAAAGUCUGUUUGAAACUCAGAAGAAGAAAAUUAGGUGAAUACAAAACUGCUGCCAAACUUAGAAACUUGGUUAAAUAUCCUGCAGAAAAUAUCAUGGGCUUUUCAGAGUCCAGUUAAAUAUCUACAGAUUAUAUUUCCAGUUUCAUACCUGGGGCAUUAACUCUAUUCAUUUUACUAGCUUUAGUGAAUUUUACUUCUGGAGCAUAACAUUGCAUUGAAAAUGUGUCCUCUAACCUAUGAUAUUUAUGUAUCGUUUAAUAUGAAAUUUAUGAGGUUCCAUUUCUGAUUUCCAAAUGGAUGCAAAUUAGAACACAGGAUAUUUACAUUCUUUCAUUUCUAACCCACAUACAUAAAGUUUGACUUUAAAAUGCCACUGUUCGUGUCUGUUUCAUAGAAGCUCUAGGUAUUUAUACGUCCAUUGUGUCUCUGGCACACUCUGAAUUCCAGUUUUUAAUCUAAUAUUGGGCAGGAAUUGGCUAUAAAAAUACAAUGCCAUUGAGGACAGAGCUGGAUUGCUUUUUUUCUGUUAAUUCUUGAGAACUUUAUAGUUUCUCAGGGAAGUAUAAUUUGUAACCACAUCAUCAUCUAACACUUUUCCUGUCUUUUUUGGAGAUUGACAGUUGAAAAUCUAUAAGAUCUUUUUGCAACUAAGAUCAGGAAAAA
rnacentral:lncRNA from 1 species